GGCAACAUGGCCGAGCGGUUAAAGCGCCACGUUAAGGUCAACACUUGAUACAAUAUCUUGAUUCCGUGGUCCGAAAGGGCGUGAGUUCGAAUCUCACCGUUAUCA